GACGUCACCCAGCCCCCCACCUGUCUCCAAAUGGACCCAAAAUGGUACCGUUCGUUUGUGCUUCGUUUGUGCAGGUUUGUGCAGCAAAAAUUUUCGUUUGUGCUGCUUCCGUUUCGGAGAUAUUACACAUUUAUUUUAUAGCGAUGACGUCUGGUAGCCCCGCCCCCUUGUUUACUUCCAAACGACCCAAAAUAGUGCCGUUCGUUCGUUUGUGUUUCGUUUGUGCUGCAAAAAUUGUACCGAUUGUGCCGGCUGCUACGGUUUUGCAGAUAUUACACAUUUAAUUCAUAGCGAAGACGUCACCCAGCCCCACGUCACUGUAUUUUGUCGCGAAUUUCAAGCUCCUGGAAUGCUCCUGAUGCAGGACGAAUACAAGGUCAUUAUAGAUCUCCCAGGCAUAUGCAGUCCUCCUGCAGUAUGCCACACAAUGCCCGAGAGAAUCCUGGGUCAGUCCUGGUUCAAAGCCAAUGACUGCUCUCAAAGUAAAGGUCUUCUCUUUUAGCUCCAGACUGGAGGGAAAUUCAAGCAAGGCAACUUCCUUGCAACUGCUACCAAGAGUUUUGAAUGAAGACGGACACCGGGAAGGAUUUUCAAUUGGCCUGAGGCAGAGAGAGUCAGGAAGGCUGAGUCCCUCUUCAGCAGCAGUCUGAAGAGAAGCCAUGCCACAGUGGAGAUGUGGCAUUGUGCAUCAAUUUGGAGAGCACCAGAGGUCAGGAGGACAGGUUUGAAUAUUUCCCCCAGCAGUUCUGCCCUCUGUGAGUAUACCUGUGGGUUCACACUCUGUGUUGUGAUGGUUUUCACCAGGUGGAGGAAUUGGUUCCCACGGUCAUAGUUCAGAACAGUCUUUUCAAAUGAAAAACUUUCACAGAAAGAACAGCAUAAGCAUUGCAAGACAGAAUCAAAUGCACAAGUAUUGAGCACAAACACUUUUGAUGUGCGAAGUUUAACAGGCUGUUGAUGGUUCCCGUUUUUCAACAAUGGUACCUUGACUUUUUUCCAGCCACUUGUGUGUCAAUAUGCAGCCAUUCAGGACAAGGAGAGAGAUAUGAAGUUAUCUUUCUUUUUUUGGGUGGGACCGCUAAACCUCUCCAGUUUUCAACUGCACUGUCAGUAGAUGCAUCUGGCUCCGCUCCAGGAUGAGAUUUUUC